GUUCUUUAGCUCAGUGGUAGAGCACCAGUUUUGCACGCAGAAAGUCCCAGGUUCAGUCUCUGGCAUCUACA